AGCGUUUCUCAGCCUUUUGGCUCAAAUCAAGGGUUCUUAUCAGUUUAAUAUCAGAUACGUCCUCUACCCAAGGACAAUAUGUUAAACAUAUUUUGGAAACAGACAGAUGGGAUAGGUGCUUGUUCCAUCCGUUCCCCGCAUCCACCUGGUAUUAUUGCACCUCCAGGAAUGGCCCACCCCAU
rnacentral:snRNA from 1 species